rnacentral:rRNA from 1 species
AAGUCGAACGAGAAAGCUCCUUCGGGAGUGAGUACAGUGGCGAACGGGUGCGUAACACGUUGGUGACCUGCCUUGAGGAGGGGGACAACCGUGGGAAACCACGGCUAAUACCCCGGAUGUCUAAACUGUUAGAGGGUUUAGACUAGAACUUCGGUGCCUCAAGAGGGGCCUGCGGGCUAUCAGCUUGUUGGUGGGGUAAUGGCCUACCAAGGCUAAGACGGCUAGGGGGCGUGAGAGCGCGACCCCCCACAAUGGAACUGAGACACGGUCCAUACUCCUACGGGAGGCAGCAGUGAGGAAUAUUGCGCAAUGGGGGAAACCCUGACGCAGCAACGCCGCGUGAACGAUGAAGGCCUUCGGGUCGUAAAGUUCUUUUCUAAGGGAAGAUAGUGACGGUACCUUAGGAAUAAGUCCCGGCUAACUACGUGCCAGCAGCCGCGGUAAAACGUAGGGGGCGAGCGUUAUCCGGAUUUAUUGGACGUAAAGCGCACGUAGGUGGCGCUGUAAGUUAGACGUGAAAAGCUCUCGGCUCAACUGAGAGAGGUCGUUUAAAACUGCAGUGCUUGAGGUUAGAAGAGGAGAGCAGAAUUCCCGGUGUAGUGGUGGAAUGCGUAGAUAUCGGGAGGAAUACCAGUGGCGAAGGCGGCUCUCUAGUCUACACCUGACACUGAGGUGCGAAAGCGUGGUAACCGAACGGGAUUAGAUACCCCGGUAGUCCACGCUGUAAACGAUGGAUACUAGGUGUAGGGGGUCAUUUAACCCCUCUGUGCCGAAGCAAACGCGUUAAGUAUCCCGCCUGGGGACUACGGCCGCAAGGUUAAAACUCAAAGGAAUUGACGGGGGGCCCGCACAAGCAGCGGAGCGUGUGGUUUAAUUCGAUGAUACGCGAAGAACCUUACCUGGGCUGAACUACGUGGUAGUAGUGAAGCGAAAACGGAUCGACCCUUCGGGGAGCCUCGAUAGGUGCAGCAUGGCUGUCGUCAGCUCGUGUCGUGAGAUGUUGGGUUAAGUC